rnacentral:rRNA from 1 species
UACAGGGGGCUCGAGCGUUAGUCGGAAUCACUGGGCUUAAAGGGUGCGUAGGCGGCUCGCCAAGUGCUUUGUGAAAUCCCACAGCUCAACUGUGGAACAGCAGGGCAAACUGGCGAGCUUGAGGCAGGUAGGGGCCGGAAGAACAGUUGGUGGAGCGGUGAAAUGCGUAGAUAUCGGAAGGAACAUCAGUGGCGAAAGCGACUUCCUGGACCAGUACCGACGUUCAGGCACGAAAGCGUGGGGAGCAAACAGG